UACGUAGGGGGCAAGCGUUGUCCGGAAUCAUUGGGCGUAAAGAGCGCGUAGGCGGUCCGGUAAGUCCGCUGUGAAAGUCAAGGGCUCAACCCUUGAAUGCCGGUGGAUACUGUCGGGCUAGAGUCCGGAAGAGGCGAGUGGAAUUCCUGGUGUAGCGGUGAAAUGCGCAGAUAUCAGGAAGAACACCCGUGGCUAAGGCGGCUCUCUAGUACGGUACUGACGCUGAGACGCGAAAGCGUGGGGAGCGAACAGG
rnacentral:rRNA from 1 species